rnacentral:rRNA from 1 species
CCUUCUUCUUCUCUCUUUCUCCUUCUUCCCUUUUCUUCCUUCUCUUUCCUUCUUUUCUUUCCUUUUUUCUUUCCCUCUCCCUUCUCCCCUGGGAGCUUUCUUUCAAUACUACCGGACUUGAGAGCGAUAGAGGAAAAUGGAAUUCCCGGUGUAGUGGUGAAAUGCGUAGAUAUCGGGAGGAACACCAGUGGCGAAAGCGAUUUUCUGGAUCGUUUCUGACGCUCAGACGCGAAAGCUAGGGUAGCAAACGG